AGGACGAACGCUGGCGGCGUGCUUAACACAUGCAAGUCGAGCGGAAAGGCCCUUCGGGGUACUCGAGCGGCGAACGGGUGAGUAACACGUGAGCAACCUGCCCUUAGCUCUGGGAUAGCUCCGGGAAACCGGAAUUAAUACCGGAUACGACCUAGGCCGACAUCGGCCAUGGUGGAAAGUUUUUUCGGCUAGGGAUGGACUCGCGGCCUAUCAGCUAGUUGGUGGGUAAAGCCUACCAAGGCGACGACGGGUAG
rnacentral:rRNA from 1 species